AGCAGCCGCGGUAAUUCCAGCUCCAAUAGCGUAUAUUAAAGUUGUUGCAGUUAAAAAGCUCGUAGUUGAAUUUCGGGAUCAAUACGUCGGUCGUGCUUAGGUACGUACUGGCGUAAUUGAUUUCUCCCUUCUGACGAACCAUGAUGUCAUUAACUUGGUGUCAUGGGAAGUCAGGACUGUUACUUUGAAAAAAUUGAGUGUUUAAAGCAGGCUCACGCUUGAAUACAUUAGCAUGGAAUAAUGAAAUAGGACGUUCGAUCCUAUUUUGUGGUUUUUAGGAUCAACGUAAUGAUUAAUAGGGAUAGUUGGGGGCAUUAGUAUUCAAUUGUCAGAGGUGAAAUUCUUGGAUUUAUUGAAGACUAACUACUGCGAAAGCAUUUGCCAAGGAUGUUUUCAUUAAUCAAGAACGAAAGUUAGGGAUCGAAGACGAUCAGAUACCGUCGUAGUCUUAACCGUAAACUAUGCCGACUAGGGAUCGGAUGAUGUUAAUUUUUAUGUACUUCAUUCGGCGCCUUACGGG
rnacentral:rRNA from 1 species